GGAUGUGAGGGCGAUCUGGCUGCGACAUCUGUCACCCCAUUGAUCGCCAGGGUUGAUUCGGCUGAUCUGGCUGGCUAGGCGGGUGUCCCCUGCCUCCUUCACCGCUCCAUGUGCGUCCCUCCCGAAGCUGCGCGCUUUGUCGAAGAGGAUGACCAUCCCCGAUAGAGGAGGACCGUUCUUUGGUCAAGGAUAUACAAGUAGCUGCGCUCCCCUGCUAGAACCUCCAAACAAGCUCUCAUUAAGCGGAGAAAAGAAUCAAAGGACUAGGAAGAUAGGAAGGUUGUUUUGAUUUCUAUCCUU
rnacentral:snRNA from 1 species